rnacentral:rRNA from 1 species
AAGUCGUAACAAGGUUUCCGUAGGUGAACCUGCGGAAGGAUCAUUAUUGAAUGAAUCGGGGGGACUGUUGCUGGCCCGUCAAAGGGCAUGUGCACGUCUUCCCAAUUUGCCUUCUCCACCUGUGCACUUUUUGUAGACCCGGGAGAACACCUCUCGAGGCAACUCGGAUGGGGGGGUCGCCGUCAAGGCUUCCCCUGCGUUCAACCUGGUCUAUGCUUUUCACACACACUUUGAAUGUCUCAGAAGGUCUUUCAAUGGCUUGCCGUAAAAAAGCAACGCUAUAAAACUUAUACAACUUUCAACAACGGAUCUCUUGGCUCUCGCAUCGAUGAAGAAUGCAGCGAAAUGCGAUAAGUAAUGUGAAUUGCAGAAUUCAGUGAAUCAUCGAAUCUUUGAACGCACCUUGCGCUCCUUGGUAUUCCGAGGAGCAUGCCUGUUUGAGUGUCAUUAAAUUCUCAACCUCCCCAGCUUUUANCGGCCGGGAGAGGANUGGAUGUGGGGGUUGCGGGCCUCGAUUUCUAGAGAUCGGCUCUCCUUAAACGCAUUAGCGGAACGUCUCGCGGGANCGUCACUUGGUGUGAUAAUUAUCUACGNCUCAUGACUGCGAUCGNCUCUGGUUCAGCUUCUAACCGUCCGUUUGCUCGGACACAAACCCNUUGACAAUUUGACCUCAAAUCAGGUAGGACUACCCGCUGAACUUAAGCAUAUCAAUAAGCGGAGGAAAAGAAACUAACNAGGAUUCCCCUAGUAACUGCGAGUGAAGCGGGAAAAGCUCAAAUUUAAANUCUGGCGNUCUCCGGCCGUCCGAGUUGUAAUUUAGAGAAGUGUCAUCCGCGCUGGACCGUGUACAAGUCUCCUGGAAUGGAGCGUCAUAGAGGGUGAGAAUCCCGUCUUCGACACGGACCCCCAGGGCUUUGUGAUGCGCUCUCGAAGAGUCGAGUUGUUUGGGAAUGCAGCUCAAAAUGGGUGGUAAAUUCCAUCUAAAGCUAAAUAUUGGCGAGAGACCGAUAGCGAACAAGUACCGUGAGGGAAAGAUGAAAAGAACUUUGGAAAGAGAGUUAAACAGUACGUGAAAUUGUUGAAAGGGAAACGCUUGAAGUCAGUCGCGUUGGCCGGGGAUCAACCUUGCAUUCGUGCUUGGCGUACUUCCCGGUCGGACGGGUCAGCAUCAACUUUGACCGCUGGAUAAAGGUCAGGGGAAUGUGGCAUCUUCGGAUGUGUUAUAACCUCCGGCCGCAUACAGCGGUUGGGAUUGAGGAACUCAGCACGCCGCAAGGCCGGGUUUUUAACCACGUACGUGCUUAGGAUGCUGGCAUAAUGGCUUUAAUCGACC